rnacentral:rRNA from 1 species
CGUAGGGUGCGAGCGUUAAUCGGAAUUACUGGGCGUAAAGUGUGCGCAGGUGGCCGCGCAAGUCGAGUGUGAAAUCCCCGAGCUUAACUUGGGAAUUGCGCUCGAAACUACGUGGCUCGAGUGUGGCAGAGGAAGGUGGAAUUCCACGUGUAGCGGUGAAAUGCGUAGAGAUGUGGAGGAACACCGAUGGCGAAGGCAGCCUUCUGGGCCAACACUGACGCUCAUGCACGAAUGCGUGGGGAGCAAACAGGAUUAGAUACCCUGGUAGUCCACGCCCUAAACGAUGAUGACUAGUUGUUGGAGGAGUUAAAUCCUUUAGUAACGCAGCUAACGCGUGAAGUCAUCCGCCUGGGGAGUACGGUCGCAAAGAUUA